rnacentral:lncRNA from 1 species
CAUCACUGCAAUUUUAAUUACAAUAACUCGAAGCUACUCAAUUACAUAUAUUUCAUUCUACAUCUUCCGAAACUCGUUUCCCUUUGCGUAUGGUGAUGUUGAAUGAAAUCUCUAAGUUUCUCUCCUCGGUUAUUUUUGCACACGUCGUCAACAUACGGGACAAAUCGUCGAUCAGUUCACUUCCGUUGGUAGUGCCACUUGAUUCACCUUGCAAUGAAUACUCUUUAUACGGCGUAAUGUUAGAAAACUUGAAAAGCCGAUAGUUGCAGGUACAACUAUGGAACAACAACCCUUUAUUAUCCGAAUUCUUUUCUACCUCUAACCACCUAACGAAGCCCUCGCCACAGUUUGGACAUUUAAUUUUUUUUUGGACAUUCCGACAACAUGUGUCCCACAAUCCUACAAGAAUGACAUAAUCCCCUGUUUUGGCCACCCAUA